UGGCAGAUUUUAUAUUUAGUUAUGUUUCAUGCAAGGAAUGACAGUUAUAGAUGGGAAUGUUAUUCUGAGAUGUAUUUCUGUGGGUUUAGACUAUAACAUGUGGGGGUCAGCUUAGGAGACUCAGAUGUGUAUUCGUUAGAGAUUCGUCUGUGCCUCUGCUGGGACAAAAGGUUUUCACACCUAGACUCUUUCAUGGGUCAUCCAGCAGAGAUGGGGGUCUAAGAGAGACUUGGAGUCUAAGCAGAUGCCUGAUGUGUAGUGAGACUUUCGAAGGGGUCCUUCAUUCAGAUUGGAGGUGACCAAAUCUAAGCCUGAAGACAACACGCAGAGAACUGAUUGGAUAAACAUUCUACCUCUGUGAAAGGAGGGACUUAUUUAGUAUAAAUCAAAUGUGAUUCCAUUGUUCUGUGCCAUUGACCCAGUCUGACUAAGUGACAGGGUGCUCUGGUCCCUAGCUGCAGCUAGGUAGAAUUGUAUGAACCAGAAUUGAUAAUUGUCUUUGCUGUGAAAUGUAAUAAAAUGUUCCAUUACAUUUGGCGAUUGUCGGCAGAGGCCAUCAUAUAGUGAACUCUGGCUCUUGGAGCUGACGGUAAGUAACUGCAUCGGGGCAGUACGUCUCGGACUAAACCUUCAUUUUACAGAGGGCCUGAUGUCCUGAGAGCGAGGAGUACUCACUAAGAUGACCGAAAGAACCGAGGGGGAUUGGCAAGCAAUUUCGUUCUGGUGAGUAAAAUUCUGAUUUCGAAAAAUAAACUAGGUUUAUAAGGGUUAAGAGAUUCACUCAUUUGUCAAAGUGAGGAGCAGACGUGCUUACAUAGCAAGGUUUUGGAAACCGGUGUAGAAUCCAAGAAGCUUCAGGGUUUGGAACCAAUAAAAGUUAACUGGGUUUAACAAAGUCAGGGUUUGGAACCAACAAGUUAACUGGGUUUAACAAAGUCAGGGUUUAGAACCACUGCAAAAAAAAACAACAAGUUAACUGGGUUUAACAAAGUCAGGGUUUAGAACCACUGCAAAAAAAAAACAAAGCUCAACUGAGUCAAACGGAAUAGAUAUAGAUAUAUGGAGUGUUUAUUAAUUUAAACACAACUUUAAGAUUGAGCUCUGACGUCGAGUUUCAUGAUAAUUAUAACUAUUUUCAUAAAAUAGUAAUAGCAUUCUCAAGUAUUUAGUACCUGGAGGCGUAUAACUGGAGAGAAGUGUGUGUGUAGAGAUUUGAAUGAUAUUUCUCUAAAGGUAUCAGGAUGCACUAAGGGUAUUUUUUCUCAAUGUCUCUUAAGGGAGUGUUUUUUUUUUUAGAUUGGUUGAAGGUAUAAGGUUACUAUAAACGUUACACAAGUGUUGCUGGUUUGAUUACGAGUGUCUGUACAAGUAACCUGUAAGAUUUGAUGAGACCAGUCUGAGAAUUUACAGCUGACAAAGAAAAAGAGAGGAGUGAGAGGAGUUCUUGAAAUUCUCAACACUGGAGCAAGGUGAGUAUAUUUUUAAGUAUAUUUGGGAUAUAAGUAGGCUUUUUAAAGAAUAAUAACAGAAGGAAAAAGGAAAUAGCCUAAAACAAAUCUUAAAAUAAAUUUAAAAUAGACAUUUUUAAGAUAUAAGGAAAACAAUUGGUUUUAAAGAUAAAUUAGGGAGCUUUUAGGGUCAUUCUCCAUACCAGGUAAACUUUAGUCCCCGAAGUUUAGUAUUUUACUAAAUAAAUUAGAGUUAAGACGUAACUGUUAAAACAUACCAUUGGAGAGAUGUGGAGAUAUUUGUGCCAGACUUGAGAGCAUUUGAAUGUUGGUUCACUGAAGUGAAUAUCAGAGAAAGAAUUCAGGAGGUUGUAACUGAAAUAAUCUCAAGGUCCCAGGAUCUCCAAUUAAGUUCUGAUCUUGAUGCAUCUCCACUAAGAGGGAGACCGCUGCAGACAGAAAAUGCAUCAGCUUCAACCGUCCCAAUCCACACUUCAGGAAUUCAACUUUGUUGUUGAGGAGAAGGUGAGCAUACCUUCAGUUUUCACCAUUUUACAUGUGAAAGAUGUGCAAAUUUUUCAGAGACGCUGAAAAUGGCACAAAUAACAGCUUGGAGAUGCCAAGCCCGUGGAAGAGGGAGACAAAGAGGUUCAACAAAAACUUCAUCUAAGAUAAACCAAGGGAGGCAAAGCUUCAAACAUGUCUCAGAGCUAUGGUAGCUGCUGAGAGAACUGUUAUAUGUGAUGUGUGAUAUGUGAUACUUUGAAAUAAGACUUUACUAGUGUCAUAUGCUGUAACAAUGAUAUUGCUUGAGAAAAAAUGAUCACUUUUCAACAGCUAGGUGGUUCAGCUAGGAUACAGUAUUGUUUUUUAGAUGAUAGACAUUACUAUUACAGAUAGAAAGUGUUUAACUAGGAAACUCUUAGCUACAUCAGUAGAAGAGGUUUUAGACUAAACUAAAGCUUUUCUCCUGAAUUAGGAUUUAAAUGGUAAUCAAGCUGAUAAAUGUAAACGUGAAGUGUUUUGUGACUGUUUCAGCUUCAAAGGUUUCCGCAGUGUGAUAACAAAGUGGGUUACGACUGUGGGACACAGAGGAAAUCAACCCCCUUCACAUUAUAUGCAUUGACCAAAGAGAUGCAAAUAUGCUAGAGACGAGAGUGUCAAGAUUUACACUGACAGCAGGUUUGCAUGUGAUGGGGGGCUGAAUAGACAUUCAUGAACUUAACUUUAACACCAUUGUUUUUGCUUGACUGUGGUAUUUGUGUUUUGCAAGCAGUAUGCAGUUGGCCGAGAACAUGGAUUACGGUUUGAAGAUUUGAAUAUUGACAUUUGAUAUGGCUUAUAGGAGCUGUAAGCAAAGUUACAUAGGAACUUAAAUUUUUUAGAAUUUAGACUUAAUACAUUUAGGAAUUAAGUAGUUUUGAUUAACAGGAGUUUAUUUGGUUGUUGAUUAGUUUAAAUGUGGGUCAUAAAGAUGAUUUUGAUAGUUUCAUUUUGAAUAUGUUUCUUCAUUAGGUUGGAUUGACACAAGACUGGUGUCUAAGUGUCAAAAGGGAGGAGUUACAUAUGAAAUGAAAUUAAAUAUAGGUAUAUUGAGUGUACAGACAAUACACACUUAAUAAUAUUCACUAAAACUUUUUAACUUUUUAGAAGAGUUGUGUGAUUUGAGUUACAAAAUAAAAAGGUAAAACAAUCUGGAUUCCACAAGGUGAACAUCCACCUCCAAAUAAACAACUUGAUCAUUCAUAAAGAGAUUUGAUAAAGAUAAAAAUUAUGUAAGUUAGGGAAAUGAAUAAAUACUGUUUUAUUUUCAUUGAAAUGUUUUCUAUGCAAGCAGAAGUUUCCCAACAUCUAAACAGGAUUCUUCAGCAGUGAAGGAGUCACUGCUCGGGAGAACUUAUCCAUGAUGGGAGAGUCUAAAAGGAUGUCCACUGAUAAUUGUACCCAAUUUGUAAGCGCAGCAUUAAGGAUGCUGGCAGAUGAAGGAGAAUCUAUUGGAAAUCCAUGGAAAGGGAGCUGCAUGCGAAGGAACCAGGAGAAUGGAUUGUACUGAAGGACGUGAGGAGAAAAGAUUGGAAGAGGACGUCGAUGGAACGAGUGCAAGCCAAAUGCCUCUCACCAGA